AAUGCAGAAGAAGAACAUCGAAAUGAUUAGGGGCCAGAGGAACUCUCCUUAGAGGAAAAACAAGAAGAACUAGAAGUUGUUAUGGAUUGGCUGAAUGAUCUAAGGAGACUAUGGAAACCACUUAGAAGCAUUUGAGCUGUGAUGAUGGCAAGAGAUGGGGAAGAAGAAAGACCAGGGGCUUUAGGAUGCAAACGAAUGAUUCAAGGCUCUCUGUGUCUGAAAUGUGUGUGAGCAUGUAGUGAAACCAACUUUGCCUGGAAAACCCUGGAUUAGGUUGAGAUUGCCUGCCUGCAAAAGAAGUUCAACUCGAGGCUAACAGACUGGACCACCAGGAAGCAUUUCAUAUGUGUCUUUCCAGGUUAGUAUCCUUUUAGUUGUUAACCUUAUACUGUCAACUUUGUAUUAUCUGGCGAUCUGUUAGUCAUCAAUUCUGUACAUCUUUUAACUGUCACACUGUAUCAUAGUGAUGCGGGCUUGGUGAGCCAAGGAGUCAAAAGAAAGAUUUCUUGGACUCUCAAGGUCUGGUAGUAGUGCUCUUUUAUUCAGAGAAUAGCAUGGAGUAGCAU
rnacentral:lncRNA from 1 species